rnacentral:rRNA from 1 species
CAGCAGCCGCGGUAAUACGGAGGGUGCAAGCGUUAAUCGGAAUUACUGGGCGUAAAGCGCACGCAGGCGGUCUGACAAGUCAGAUGUGAAAUCCCCGGGCUUAACCUGGGAACUGCAUUUGAAACUGUCAGGCUGGAGUCUUGUAGAGGGGGGUAGAAUUCCAGGUGUAGCGGUGAAAUGCGUAGAGAUCUGGAGGAAUACCGGUGGCGAAGGCGGCCCCCUGGACAAAGACUGACGCUCAGGUGCGAAAGCGUGGGGAGCAAACAGGAUUAGAUACCCGCGUAGUCCCUGUCUCUUAUAU